rnacentral:ncRNA from 2 species
CCCACGCACGGCGACUGGCGCACGGAGAACGGACUCCGGGGAAGUCGUGCGCGCACGACCGCACACAGGGCCGCUCGCCUGGGCCUCGCGG